rnacentral:rRNA from 1 species
AGGACGAACGCUGGCGGCGUGCUUAACACAUGCAAGUCGAGCGGAAAGGCCCUUCGGGGUACUCGAGCGGCGAACGGGUGAGUAACACGUGAGUAACCUGCCCUCAGCUUUGGGAUAACCCUCGGAAACGGGGGCUAAUACCGGGUAUUCACUGUCUGCGGCAUCGUGGGUGGUGGAAAGUUUUUGCGGCUGGGGGAUGGGCUCGCGGCCUAUCAGCUUGUUGGUGGGGUAAUGGCCUACCAAGGCGGCGACGGGUA